CUAUUCCUUUUCAUCUUUCCUUGUUGUAGUAAUAUUUUGUAGUCCUUGACUUACUUAGCAUAGGGACACCAUUUUUUAGUAACUUCUGUAUACAAGAAGAUUAUAUUGCUAUAUUAUUUACUUGUGUUUGCCCAUAAUUCAUAAACAUUGGCUGUUAAAUUUGCGAAUCUGUCAUUUUAUUCCAAAUGGAUGAAUUCAUUUUUUGCUACAAAGUAUCCAAUACCUGAAAGUUAUGCCAAUUAUAGUAAAAUUUUAUACAUGCUGUUUAAAAUUUACUUUUAUGCUUUGAAUUGCUGAGUUGGCUUCUGGAACUAAGAAUAGUUAUCUAAAUGGGUCAUCUUGCAGUUGCAAGCAACAAAGCUUUGCUGAAUCUGUGCUUCGGUGACUUGAAAAAUGAUACCAUAAUGUACAUUUGUUUAGUCGUUUUUUAUCUUGAUAAUGAUGCAUAUCUGAUUGUCUAUGCACUCGAUUUCUUAUUUGUUGAAUGCUAUUUUUUUUUAAUCUUAGAAUUAGUUGGUGUUUUGAAGGUGAAAAUUGAAACAAAGCGCUUCUCAAAGCAUUUCGUAGCAGAGUACAGUUUUUGAUGGUUUCCUGGGAUGCAUUUUGGUGGAAGUGAGAGAACUCCUUUGUUAGACAGAGGAAUUGGACGAGCACUGAGGUCAGCGUUGAAAAGUUUAGGACUCUGGGAAUCAAUAAAAGAGCUGGCAAGGGCAUACGAGUAUAUUAUGGCUCUGAUAUUGUUCAUGCCCAUAGCUAUCCUGUCAUGGUUCCCAUUUGUGUCAGAGUUCCAAACCCGGCUGCUUUUCAACCAAGCAUUUAGCAGAGGCCUCCAGAUUUCUAUGAUCCUUGCAGGAAGAAAAGAGAAAGACAUCACAUCCCCAGUCAAGUACGCUUGAAUUUUUUAACGAGUAGGAUUCAAUCAUCUGAAUUUGGAUUUAUCAAAACUUUGUCGUUGUUUUAUCAUCAAAUCUGUUCAAAACCUUAUUAAAGAAGUCUUUCUUGUUCUUUGUUUUGAUAGUAAUUUUUUAAUAUUAAUAAUUGAAAUUAAAUUUUAAAAAAAUACUAACGUCUUAACAUUUAUAAUGAUGCACUUGACUGUCAGAAUAUUUUAGGUUAUACUGAUAGUUACCAAUAGUUAGUAAAAUAUAAUGUCGGAUAAUCCAUCGAAAAAAUAAAAUAUACAAGUUUAUACUGAUGAACGUUAACCGUCGGUAUAUUUUAGAAAAAUUAAAACAUAUAAGUUUAUAUUGACGGACAUUAAUUGUUGGGAUAAGUAAGAAAAAUUAAAACAUACAAGUUUCUAUU